rnacentral:tRNA from 1 species
GCGCUCGUAGCUCAGUGGUCGAGAAGGCAUUUCACGCGGGCCGGGACGUUUGGUGCGUCGGAGGACCCGUUUGUGUCGAAGCUGGCGGGAUAAUCAGCGCAUCAACGCGUGCCGCAGGCACGGCGUCCCAGUCCGACUGAAUUCGCUGAAGAGCGCCGGUCUGUUAAGCCGGAGGCGCGGGUUCGAUUCCCGUCGAGCGCA